UUCUUAUCAAGAGUGGUGGAGGGAAAGGCCCUGCGAAGCCACAGCAACCGGUCUUCCGGGUCGCAUUCGAGCACGAAGGCGAACCGGAAGGUGACAGGUGCUAAAUCCUGCCGGGAGGCAAAGAUGAGAA
rnacentral:ncRNA from 2 species